GACGAACGCUGGCGGCGUGCUUAACACAUGCAAGUCGAACGGAAAAGCCUCUUUCGGGGUGUACUGGAGUGGCGCACGCGGGUGUGACACGCGAGUGUCCUGCCCCUGACUUUGGGGUAAAAUCAGUAGACUGGGGCUAAUACCCGAUAGGAGAUCCUGCUGCAUGGUGGGGGUUGGAAAGAUUCGGUGGUUCGGGAUGGCCUCGCGGCUAAUCAGCUUGUUGGGGGGGUAGUGGCGUACCAAGGCAUUGAGUGGUAGCCAGCCUGGGGGGGUGAACGGCGCCCUUGGGACUAAGGUACGGCCCAGACGCGUACGGGAGGCAGCAGUGGGGAAUCUUGCACAAUGGGUGGAAGCCUGAGGCAGCAGCGCCGGGAGCGGGAUGACGGGUUGUGGGUGGUGAACCGCUGUCGCACAUGACGAAGCUUUGUGUGACGGUAGUGGGUAAAGAAGCACCGGCUAACUACGUG
rnacentral:rRNA from 1 species